ACUCCUACGGGAGGCAGCAGUAGGGAAUCUUCCACAAUGGGCGCAAGCCUGAUGGAGCAACACCGCGUGAGUGAAGAAGGGUUUCGGCUCGUAAAGCUCUGUUGUUAAAGAAGAACACGUAUGAGAGUAACUGUUCAUACGUUGACGGUAUUUAACCAGAAAGUCACGGCUAACUACGUGCCAGCAGCCGCGGUAAUACGUAGGUGGCAAGCGUUAUCCGGAUUUAUUGGGCGUAAAGAGAGUGCAGGCGGUUUUCAAGUCUGAUGUGAAAGCCUUCGGCUUAACCGGGAGAAGUGCAUCGGAAACUGGAUAACUUGAGUGCAGAAGAGGGUAGUGGAAC
rnacentral:rRNA from 1 species